GGCGAACGCUGGCGGCGGGCUUAACACAUGCAAGUCGAACGGAAACGCCCUGCGUGUGUGGUGUUCUCGGUUGGCGAACGGGGAAGUAACACGUGAGUAACGGGCUCUUGUCUUUGGUGUAACUUCAGGAAACGGGGGCUAAGAUCGUAUAGGAUCUCCUCCACCAGUGUGGGCGGUGGAAAUUCUCGGCGGUUGGGGAUGGACUCGCGGCUGAUCGGCUUGUUGGUGGGGUAGUUGCUUACCAAGGCUUUGACUGGUAGCCGGCAUGGGAGGGUGACCGGCCACCUUGGGACUGAGAUAGGGCCCAGACUCCUACGGGAGGCAGCAGUGGCAAGUAUUGCCCAAUGGGCGGGAGCGUGAUGCAGAGACGUCGCGUGCGUGAUGACGGCCUUCUGGUUGAGAACAGCAUUGGCUUGUGACGCAGCGUGUGUGACGGUACUCAAAAAAGAAGCACCGGCUAACUACGUG
rnacentral:rRNA from 1 species